AUUGAACGCUGGCGGCAUGCUUUACACAUGCAAGUCGAACGGUAACAGGCCUUCUGGUGCUGACGAGUGGAGAACGGGGGAGUAAUGCAUCGGAACGUGCCCAGAGGUGGGGGAUAACGCAGCGAAAGCUGUGCUAAUACCGCAUGGGAUCUGAGGAUGAAAGCGGGGGACCAGGCAGCAAUGUUUGGCCUCGCGCCUUUGGAGCGGCCGAUGUCAGAUUAGGUAGUUGGGGGGGUAAAGGCCUACCAAGCCGACGAUCUGUAGCUGGUCUGAGAGGACGAACAGCCACACUGGCACUGAGACACGGCCCAGACUCCUACGCGAGGCAGCAGUGGGGAAUUUUGGGCAAUGGGCGCAAGCCUGAUCCAGCAAUGCCGCGGGAGGGAAGACGGCCUUCGGGUUGGAAAACGCUUUUGUACGGAACGAAAAGGAUCUGGCUAAUACCUGGGGCUGAUGACGGUACCGUAAGAAUAAGCCCCGGCUAACUACGUG
rnacentral:rRNA from 1 species